AAUGAAAGGCACUGGUUAUUCUGCCAAGGCUUUGACUGGAGGGGCAUAUUUUCAGAGGUGCCCAGACUGUGUUGAGGAAUUAAGCUUGACUUUAUGAGGCUGAUAAGCCCUUUGGGAAAACUGGCCAGAUGCUUCACCAAUAACAUUUCCUGAUCUUUGAUGAUGAACAGAAUCAAGGAAAACAGUCUAUGAUGGAAACUACCAUAAUUCUUCAUUUCCUGCCUAUGGUUGAAUGAAUUCUCCUUUGCUUUUAUAAAGCAUAUACUCAAC